AAGUAAGAAGCAAAUCAAUUGUAAUCAGUUUCGACCUGAUAGUAAGAUAUAAUUUAAUAUCCUUACUUG
rnacentral:tRNA from 1 species